rnacentral:rRNA from 1 species
CCUACGGGAGGCAGCAGUGGGGGAUAUUGCACAAUGGGGGAAACCCUGAUGCAGCGACGCCGCGUGGGCGCAGAAGUAUUUCGGUAUGUAAAGCCCUAUCAGCAGGGAAGAAGAAAUGACGGUACCUGAGUAAGAAGCACCGGCUAAAUACGUGCCAGCAGCCGCGCGAAUCCGUAGGGUGCAAUCGUUAUCCGGAUUUACGGGGUGUAAGGGGAGCGAAGGCGGCACGGCAGGCCUGAUGUGAAAGCCCGCGGCCCAAGGGGUGGAGUGCCUUGGGUACUGCCGGGCUGGAGUGCCGGUGCGGUAGGAGGAAUGUGUGGUGUAGCGGUGAAAUGCGUAGAUAUUAGGAGGAACACCAGUGGCGAAGGCGGCCUACGAAACGGUGAUUGACGCUGAGGCACGAAAGCGUGGGUAGCAAACAGGAUUAGAUACCCGUGUAGUC